ensembl:lncRNA
GCUGCUCGGAGCUUUGCCGUCCAAGGAAUACAUUGGUUAGUCACACGAUAUCGGACAGCUAAGGUUGUGUAUAUUCCCAGAGGAUCGAGCCCUGGCAUGUUUGCGAUUCACUCCACAACAGCUGAGAGUAAAAGUAGUCGGAGGGCCGAUCUGUCCUUCUCCAGAAGUGGGGCUCCACUACAGAAGAGCUUCCAUGAAGCCGGUACGGAUUCAUGCAGAAGGACAUCACAGCAAGGCGAAUGCUACAUUUCGAGAGGGUGUUAUCCAGGGCCUGGA